rnacentral:tRNA from 1 species
GAUCGAGUGGCUGAGUGGUGAGGCAGGGAUCGGCAAAAUCUCUAACACGGUUCGAAUCCGAUCUCGAUCUCGA